UGGAAGUGUGUUGUGAAGGUGAACAGAACCAGCUCUAUUUAUCUAUUUAUCAUCAGCAGAAAAGGAGUCUGUAAGCUUUCACUGUAGCUCAGGAGGGCUAACAAGACAGGUAACUAAAAAUAUUAACCCUACAACAAUCAGCCUUUUAAUAAUAAAAACAAUCGCGAAAUUCUAUAGAUUAAUCAAAAUGGGUGAUUUCUUUUCAAGUAGCAUAGUAAAAUCACUUGCCUGCCAUAUAAGGCUUAGAAUUCAUCAUCUCAUUCUCACAAAAGAAGAACAAUGAACAAACUGAAAAUCAAUACUCACAUAUAGAUUUGUCUAUAAAUAUGGAAUUGAAUUCACAAGGAAAACAGCUGUCCCUCAAACUAGAGAUGCAAAUAAAUUUGGAUCAUGGCUGACUGGCCGCAAAAUUCACAGCUGUAGACUCAGUCUGUGUAGAAAAGCACAGAGUACUGCUCUUGGCAAAAUACCUCUACUGAAUGGAAAAUAUUUCACCAGACUCGAAACAGCUUCUGUUUUGCCAAUGCUCACCUCAUCAGAAGAGCAGGAAGAAUCUAUAUCUGAACAUCUCUAGCCUUUCUCUCUCAGUGCAAUUGAAAAGAAAAGCCACCCACAAUACAACUCAUAGACCAUAUUAAGCUUAGCAAGAAGGAAGGCCAAAGUGUAGAUGCUUCAUUCCCCAUAGAAGGGGAAACAAAAUAAUCAUGAGAGGCAGAAGAAAAGAGGGACCUGGGUGAAAGAGGGGAGGGGAAGAGAAGUGGGGGCAGGAUGAGGUAUGGGAAGAGACAGAGAAGUUCAGAGGGCCAGGAGAAUGAAUAGAAAUAUGCAGCAGUGUUGGGUGGAGACAGGAGAGGGGGAACCACUAGAAAGUUCCACAUGCCAGGGAUGGGAGACGCUCCCAGAACCCAAUGCAGAUGACAUUAGCCAAUAGCAGGAAGAU
rnacentral:lncRNA from 1 species